AGCUCUUGCUCUUGCUCCUUCGCCUGCUUGCUGCGUGAGACUGAGUAACUACUAGAUCCUUGGACUUCCAUUCACAGCUGAGACUGAACCAUUGUUGGGAAUUGGGCUGCCGACUCUAGUACAGAGCUAAGAGAUCAAGCAAUGGCCAUAGCUUUCAAUUUGGAAGGGAAAAUACUGGGAAGGAGACUUCACAGGUUUUUUGGAUGAGAGUGUUUUUUUUUUUUUCCACCUAAACAUGUGUGUUUAUACAAGAGUUCAAGAUCCAGAACUACACAAGAAAUUCUACUACUUCGCUUUCAUCUUGUUUUAAAUGUGAAGCAGGGGGAGUAAUGAAUUGCUUCAUAUGUUAUGUCGGUGAGUUGUUGAGUCUUCAUGAAAACUGAUAAUAGAGUGCAUGAACUCAGCUCAGGUGCUCUGAAACGGUGAAAUAUGGGUCUAUUUUCUACCAUUUCACAA
rnacentral:lncRNA from 1 species